rnacentral:miRNA from 1 species
ACACACACGNAAAACUCUCUCUCUCUCUCUCUCUCUCUCUCUCUCUAUAUAUAUAUAUAUAUAUAUAUAUAUAUAUGUGUGUGUGUGUGUGUGUGUGUGUGUGUGAGAGAGAGAGAGAGAGAGAGAGAGAGAGAGAUUGCUUUUCAUG